UAACUACUCCCUCCGUCCCAUAUUAAGUGUCUCAAAUUCUUCCAAACAUGGAUGUAUCUAUAGCUAAAAAGCAUCUAGUUACAUAUAUUUUGACACUUAAUAUGGGACGGAGGGAGUAGUAA
rfam:Brachypodium distachyon strain Bd21 chromosome 4, whole genome shotgun sequence.